CUUUACAAAAAUCCUGCCUCUUUCACUGUUUCAAUAAUAAAUGUACCCAGGUGUGGAAGGUGUCAGUGCAGGGUGAAUCUGGCUGUUCCCAGGUGUGGCAGUGCCAGUGCAGGAUGGAUCUGGCUGUCCCCAGGUGUGGAAGGUGUCAGUGCAGGAUGGAUCUGGCUGUUCCCAGGUGUGGAAGGUGUCUGUGCAGGAUGGAUCUGGCUGUCCCCAGGUGUGGCAGUGCCAGUGCAGGAUGGAUCUGGCUGUUCCCAGGCUCCUGUCAUGGAACUGGGACCAGUAAAUUCCCUGUUCCAGUGCUGCUCUGAAUGAACCUCUCUUCUGUUAUGUGCUA
rnacentral:lncRNA from 12 species